CAGUCGCCGCGGUAAUACGUAGGUGGCAAGCGUUGUCCGGAAUUAUUGGGCGUAAAGCGCGCGCAGGUGGUUUAAUAAGUCUGAUGUGAAAGCCCCCGGCUCAACCGGGGAGGGUCAUUGGAAACUGGGAAACUUGAGUGCAGAAGAGGAGAGUGGAAUUCCACGUGUAGCGGUGAAAUGCGUAGAGAUGUGGAGGAACACCAGUGGCGAAGGCGACUCUCUGGUCUGUAACUGACGCUGUGGAGCGAAAGCGUGGGGAGCGAACGGGAUUAGAUACCCCGGUAGUCCCUGUCUCUUAUAC
rnacentral:rRNA from 1 species